rnacentral:rRNA from 1 species
AGUGAACGCUGGCGGUAGGCCUAACACAUGCAAGUCGAACGGCAGCACAGUAAGAGCUUGCUCUUACGGGUGGCGAGUGGCGGACGGGUGAGGCAUACAUCGGAAUCUACUUUUUCGUGGGGGAUAACGUAGGGAAACUUACGCUAAUACCGCAUACGACCUACGGGUGAAAGCAGUGGAUCUUCGGACCUUGCGCGAUUGAAUGAGCCGAUGUCGGAUUAGCUAGUUGGCGGGGUAAAGGCCCACCAAGGCGACGAUCCGUAGCUGGUCUGAGAGGAUGAUCAGCCACACUGGAACUGAGACACGGUCCAGACUCCUACGGGAGGCAGCAGUGGGGAAUAUUGGACAAUGGGCGCAAGCCUGAUCCAGCCAUACCGCGUGGGUGAAGAAGGCCUUCGGGUUGUAAAGCCCUUUUGUUGGGAAAGAAAAGCAGCAGGUUAAUACCCCGCUGUUCUGACGGUACCCAAAGAAUAAGCACCGGCUAACUUCGUG